AGAGUUUGAUCCUGGCUCAGAACGAACGUUGGCGGCGUGCUUAAUACAUGCAAGUCGUACGAGAAAGCCUUACUUCGGUUUGGCAAGUAAAGUGGCGAACGGGUGAGUAACACGUGGACAACUUGCCCCUAAAUCUGGGAUAAUCAACCGAAAGGUCGUNUAAUACCGGAUAACACCACGAAAUGGCNUCNUUUUGUGGUCAAAGGUGGAGCAAUCUACCGUUUAGGGAUAGGUCCGCGGUUCAUUAGCUUGUUGGNGGGGUAACGGCCCACCAAGGCGACGAUGAAUAGCCGGCUUGAGAGAGUGAUCGGCCACACUGGGACUGAGAUACGGCCCAUACUCCUACGGGAGGCAGCAGUGGGGAAUUUUGCGCAAUGGGCGAAAGCCUGACNCACAACGCCGCGUGAGUGAUGAAAGGUUUCGGAUCGUAAAGCUUUUGUCAAGAGGGAAAAAACCUUCAACGGCCAAUCCCGGUGGGAUUGACGGUUCCUNUANAGGAAACACCGGNUUACUUCCUGCCAGCAGGCGGGGUUAUUACAAGGCGAAUUNUUUUNAACCUGCANGACUAGU
rnacentral:rRNA from 1 species